ACCCUUUAAUGUUUGAUGUUCUAACGUGGACCCGUGAUCCGGGUUGCGGACAGUGUCUGGUGGGUAGUUUGACUGGGGCGGUCUCCUCCUAAAGAGUAACGGAGGAGCACGAAGGUUGGCUAAUCCUGGUCGGACAUCAGGAGGUUAGUGCAAUGGCAUAAGCCAGCUUGACUGCGAGCGUGACGGCGCGAGCAGGUGCGAAAGCAGGUCAUAGUGAUCCGGUGGUUCUGAAUGGAAGGGCCAUCGCUCAACGGAUAAAAGGUACUCCGGGGAUAACAGGCUGAUACCGCCCAAGAGUUCAUAUCGACGGCGGUGUUUGGCACCUCGAUGUCGGCUCAUCACAUCCUGGGGCUGAAGUAGGUCCCAAGGGUAUGGCUGUUCGCCAUUUAAAGUGGUACGCGAGCUGGGUUUAGAACGUCGUGAGACAGUUCGGUCCCUAUCUGCCGUGGGCGCUGGAGAACUGAGGGGGGCUGCUCCUAGUACGAGAGGACCGGAGUGGACGCAUCACUGGUGUUCGGGUUGUCAUGCCAAUGGCACUGCCCGGUAGCUAAAUGCGGAAGAGAUAAGUGCUGAAAGCAUCUAAGCACGAAACUUGCCCCGAG
rnacentral:rRNA from 48 species